GCGAGUAAGACCCUGCCCUAGUGGCUCGGUCAGUCCCAUCAUAUACACCUUUAUUCGUGAACUCGUGGUUCAGCUGGACGAUGAAAGCUUUGGCGACUAGCCGUCCGUCGGUUCCACUCUUUAUACCCUUUAUGUGAAGUCAAUGGAAAUUAUGAUAAUCUAAUA
rnacentral:misc_RNA from 1 species